rnacentral:lncRNA from 1 species
CCGAGCUCUACAUUGGGUAGCUUGUAUUGCGAAAACACUUGUUGGCUUAUUUCCUAAAUGCAAAAUUCUAAUAUGCUUUGAUUCAAAAGGAAACUCCCUGAGAUUCUGAGGCCCUUCUGAGACCUCUAGGUAGAAUGGCUGGAUAGGAGGCCUGAAUUCUGGGAGAAGGGUGGGACCAGGGAUGGGAGAGGUGUGAGAGUUUCCCACAUUCUGUCUUAAGAGAAAAGCCCCAGAAGGAAAGAGAUUAACCCAGAAUUUUGGAGAAAGUUGUCAUUAAGAGGCAGGUGGAGGGACUGGUUAAAAAAGGGUGAAAAAGUGGUGGGGUCGGGUGUAGAAAGAGAGCAAUUAGGAAAAGUGGCACUCCAGGAAGUUAAGGGACAAGUCUCAACAGAGAGCAUGGGUGACAAUGUCAAAUGCCACCUAAAUAUUAUGUGCUGGAGGCCUGAGCAGUGUCCUGUGGAUUUAGCAAGGCUGCUGGUGAGCUCAGCACAAGCUGCUGCUGUGGGGUGAGUGGAGGGCGCAUUGGUGCCACCAGGAGGGAAGGAAGGAGUGGCCCACUAGCAGCCUUAGUGGAAGAUGCCCUAGAGAGGAGAGGGGUUGAGGAUUUCUGGAUCGAGGGAGAAGACUGCAGGGCUCAAAUCCUGGAGAGGCUGGGGAGGAGGGUCCAGGGCCAGACCUUGGGAGAGAGGAGGCCCUGUCAACUGGCACAUGGGAAGGUCAGGAGGCAGGCGAAGGCCGCUGGGCUCUGGGCCCUACUGUCCUCAGUGAAAUAGCUGCUGAGGAUAUUUUCUGAGUGUCUGGCUAGUGGUUGCAAAAAGCCCAGAGGAGGUUGCAAGAGGUGAGGCAGCUGAUCAAAGCAAGUGGAAGGGUAGGCCCCGAGGCCCAGCUGGAGAGGGAGGCAGAGGUUCCUGGCGCUGUGGCUGUGCAGAAGCAGCUUUCCUGCAGCCUGAGUGCCUGUGGAGCUGGGGUGGGAAGGCAGAGCGGACACUAGCCUGGGUUGGGGAUUGUAAGGAGGCUGAGCUGAGCUGUAGGGACAAAGGCCCAGCGAUGUGGAUGCUGGUGAGAGUAGCUCCAAGAAGUGAAAGAAGGAAGGGAAGCCUGGAUGUUGAGAACCCAGAGAGACUCUGGAGCCCUCCAUGAGCAUCCCCAAAGAACAUUCAAGUCUGAGCCUCAAGGAGCCUCUGCGACUCGGUGUCUAGAUCCAGGAAAUGGAGAAUGAGCCGUGACUUUGGAUGCUUCACUCUUGUCCAUCAGGCUCGGAAUUGGUGAGCAUCUCCCACAUUACCGUCUCCAACGGAACAAGGUGCCCCAUUGGACAUUUCCUCUGCAUGGACCAGCCAUUCUCCAAAUCUGCCCCCAUGUCACCCCAGCUCCCCAUCGCAGUCACUUCUCACUCCUUGUCCCCUGUCCCCCUGAGUGACAGGACUUUUGCCAGUUAGGUCCUGUCCCUGUUUCUGAUCUUGGGUCCAUUCCCCAUGGUCCCUUUCUUGCUUGUGCCUUGGGAUCUCAGGCCUGUUGAAGUAGGAGGCAGGACUCAACUUCAGACCAGAUUGAAGACUGGCUGACACAGAAGAGGCACCAAAAGCACCUCUCUCUCCAUAAGACAUGCCCACCAGUGCCAUGACAGUUUACCAUUGCUAUGGCAAUGCCCAGAAGUUCUCACCCCUUUUCCAGACAUUUCUGCAUAAUCUACCCCUCAAUUGGCAUGUGAUCAAAAGUGGGUGUCAAAAUGACUGUGGAACUGUCCCUGAGCUGCUACUCUUGACAUGCUGGUUACAGGGUAGCCCGGCUCUGCAGGGACAGUCACGGAGCUGAAAAACUGCUGCCUAAUGAAGCUGUUUUCUUCUA